UACAGGGGGUGCAAACGUUGCUCGGAAUCAUUGGGCGUAAAGCGCACGUAGGCGGUUCGUUAUGUCGGAUGUGAAAGCCCUUGGCUUAACCGAGGAAGUGCAUCCGAAACUGGCGAGCUAGAGUACUAAAGAGGAUCGCGGAAUUCCCGGUGUAGAGGUGAAAUUCGUAGAUAUCGGGAGGAACACCGGUGGCGAAGGCGACUUCCUGGCCUGUUCUUGACGCUGAGGCGCGAAAGCUAGGGGAGCAAACGGG
rnacentral:rRNA from 1 species